CUCAUUAGUGUACUCUCUUUUAAGCUCGUCUUUUUUUCUUUUUCUUUAUUCUGAAACAAAUUAUAUGUCCUUUUCCCAAGCCACCACCACGUCCCAACUACUAUAACACCCCAAAUUCCACCAUGAAAAUUCAUAUAUACUCAUAAUUCACACACACAAAUGUACUUACAUACCAGCUACAUCUCAUUAGUGGACUCAUUUUUAAGCCCGUCUUUGUUAUUUUUUCUUACACAAAUUUGUGUUUUUCUUAAAUCUUUUUAAGAGCCGUAAAG
rnacentral:lncRNA from 1 species